AAAUUCCCCCUCAGAAUUCCCCAAAAUUCAAAAAAAAUUCCCAAAAUUUUCCCCAAAAUUCCCAGAAAAAAAAUCCCAAAAUUCCCCCUCAGGAUCCCCCAGAAUUCCCCCAAAUUCCACCUCCAGAAACCCCCAAAAUUCCCAGAAAAAAAAAACCAAAUUCCCCCUCAGAAUUCCCAAAAAUUCCACCAAAAAUUCCAAAAAUUCCCCCUCAGGAACCCCCAAAAUUUCCAGAAAAAAAAUCCCAAAUUCCCCCACAGGAUCCCCCAAAAUUCCCCCAAAUUCCACCUCCAAGAAGGCCCAAAAUUCCCAGAAAAAAACCACCAAUUUCCCCCUCAGAAUUUCCCAAAAUUUCCUCUCAGGAACCCCCAAAAUUCCUAGAAAAAAAAUCCCAAAAUUUCCCCUCAGGAACCCCCAAAAUUCCUAGAAAAAAAAUCCCAAAAUUUCCCCUCAGGAACCCCCAAAAUUCCAAAAAAAAUUCCCAAACUUUCCCCCAAAAUUCCCACACAAAAACCCCCAAAUUCCCCCUCAGGAAUCCCCAAAAUUCAAAAAAAAUUCCAAAAAUUUUCCCCAAAAUUCCCACAAAAAAACCCCCAAAUUCCCCCUCAGGAACCCCCAAAAUUCCCAGAAAAAAAAUCCCAAAAUUUUCCCUCAGAAUUCCCCAAAAUUCAAAAAAAAAUUCCCAAAAUUUCCCCUCAGGAAGCCCCGAAAUUCCCCAAAAAAAUCCCAAAAUUUUUCCUCAGGAACCCCCAAAAUUCCCAGAAAAAAAAUCCCAAAAUUUUCCCUCAGAAACCCCCAAAAUUCCCAGAAAAAAAACCCCAAAUCCCCCCUCAGAAUUCCCAAAAAUUCCCCCUCAGGAACCCCCAAAAUUCCCAGAAAAAAAUUCCCAAAAUUUCCCCUCAGAAUUCCCCGAAAUAAUUUUCCCGCCGUUUCCCCCCCCCCCUCAGGAACACUUCCGGGUUUUACCGUGAAGGCACCACCGGAAGUGGUGGUGUAGAUGGUGUACUGCUUCUCGCUGACGUCACUGAGGGAGGGGGCGGGGUCAGGCCCGGGGGGCGGGGCUUCCUCCAGGGCGAUGCGCAGGGCCAGGUACUUGGAGAGGUGAUCGACGGUGGCGUUGGAGGUGGUUUUAACGAAGCUGGAGGGGGGAAAAACGGGAGAAAUCCAUGGGGAAUCCAUGGGAAAAUGGGAAUUCUGGACUUGGAGAAGAGGAUGGGAAAAAAAUCCGGGAAAAAACGGCCGAAAAAACGGGGAAAAAAACCCAGGAAAAAUGGUGGAAAUGGGGGUGGGACACGGGAUCCAAUGGGGGGUUGGAUGGGGAUUUCAGCAACUUUGGGGUGGAAAAAUCGGAGGAAUCCACGGGAAAUCCAUGGGGAAUCCAUCGGAAAAUGGGAAUUCUGGACCUGGAGAAGCGGCUGGGAAAAAAAUCCGGGAAAAAACGG
rnacentral:lncRNA from 1 species